rnacentral:miRNA from 1 species
UAAGUCGCUAAAGCCACACAGCCUG